rnacentral:rRNA from 1 species
AACGCGAAGAACCUUACCUGGGCUCGAACGGCUUCUCAACGGCAGUGGAAACACUGCUACUCCGCAAGGGGGUGGAGUCGAGGUGCUGCAUGGCUGUCGUCAGCUCGUGUCGUGAGAUGUUGGGUUAAGUCCCGCAACGAGCGCAACCCUUGUCCUGUGUUGCCAUCCCGCAAGGGGGCACUCGCAGGAGACCGCCAGCGAUAAGUUGGAGGAAGGUGGGGAUGACGUCAAGUCCUCAUGGCCUUUAUGUCCAGGGCUACACACGUGCUACAAUGGCCGGUACAACGCGCCGCUAAGUCGCGAGACGGAGCCAAUCGCAAAAAACCGGUCUCAGUUCGGAUUGCAGGCUGCAACUCGCCUGCAUGAAGCUGGAAUCGCUAGUAAUGGCGGAUCAGAACGCCGCCGUGAAUACGUUCCCGGGCCUUGUACACACCGCUACAGU